ACUAUAGCCUGCCAGGCUCCUCUGUCCAUGGGAUUCUCCAGGCAAGAAUACUGGAGUGGGUUGUCAUUUCCUUCUCCAGUGGAUCUUCCCAACCCAGGGAUCAAGACUGUGUCUCUUAUGUCUCCUGCAUUGGCAGCUUCUGAAAGCCAGAUACUCAGAGGGUUCCUCUUCAUCAGGUGAUUAGAGCACAAGGAUUUCCCAGGCAAGAAUACUGGAGUGGGUUGCCAUUUCCUCCUACAGGGGAUCUUCCCGACCCAGGGAUUGAACCCACAUCUCCUGGAUUGCAGAUGGGUUCUUCACCACUGAGCCACCAGGGAAGGAUUUAAGGGUGGAGAUGUAAUCUUCAAUGUGUUCAAACAUGGAUCCUUGAGGACUCAAGACCUAGAUAUCUGCCAGAAGUUGUUCCAGGAAUAAUUGCAGCCAUGAAAACGACAGGCUCAUCUGUUGCCAGUUGGGGCCAGGAGAAGCCGUGAGAGCUGUAGAGUUGUAGGGACUGUGUGAGAAACUUGAUAAGUAUUAGUCUGGCAAGCAUUUUCAUCAUUGGGCUGCAUAAACUUUUUUAAACGAGUGAUGUGUACCCAAGGGAUGAUUUCUUUUAAUUUUGCGGUGGUAGGAGUCAGCAGAAUUACCAUGUAGGGACCUUGUCAUUUUGGGGUUAGAUCUGAGUGGGACUGAACUGUCAUAUAGACUUUGUCUCCUACCUGAAGGGAUGGGUAUGGAAGAUUGUGGUGUCGUCGAGGGAGUAAGUUAUCCAUAUGUUGCCAAAGGGCAUCUUGUAUCUGGGCAAUUAAAGGAAAAGGAAGGUGGGAAGGAAAUUUGGGACUGUCCUGGGACGGGGGAAGACCCAGAGUAUUAUGGGCCUCUCAUACGUGGCCUCGAAUGGACUGAUAUUUAAGGGUUUUUUUUUUUUGGUAAGGCCCAGACCUUUAAG
ensembl:lncRNA